AUGUUUCGUUGCAAAUCAAAUGCACAACAUGUAUGUUUCAGAAACCAUAGCCCUUUUUUUUCAGGCCAUUGCAACAGGACACAUAUUUCAGGAACAUGGCCCCAGUUGCAGAAGCGCGAUAGAGACGAUCACCAACGGAUCCACGAUGUAAGUGCUACACAGAGCGGCGAGAGAGCUAGGGGACAGUGCAGAGACAUGGCCGCGACGCGUUGGGAGCAACCUGUUCCUAACCUCGACCAACACAAAGUCAAUGAGGAAGUCGCCGGCCACGCCAUCUCUCGCCCCCGCCUCCUCACCAGUGCCCACUCCUACUCCGGCUAG
rnacentral:rRNA from 1 species